rnacentral:misc_RNA from 1 species
CCCUAGUUUAGACCUACUAAUGCCAAUCUUUUCCAAGUACCCAAACACAGGUAUCAUGUUUUUCCGCACACUGCAUCCUAGGAUUAAAGGGUACUCAUUAAAAUCAUCAAUGGUUAAUCCCAACUUCUGCAAGAACUCAACACGCUCCUUCAUCACCUCAACUGUUGACGGCAGUUCUAGGUUUUCCAAUUCAUCAGGAAUUAUCCCCAAAGACUUAAGGUAAUCACAUAUU